AGAGUUUGAUCCUGGCUCAGGACGAACGCUGGCGGCGUGCUUAACACAUGCAAGUCGAGCGGGGACAUAAAACGGAAGGUUUCGGCUGGAAGGUUCAUGUUCUAGCGGCGGACGGGUGAGUAACGCGUGAACAAUCUGUCCCAGACAGGGGGAUAACACUUGGAAACAGGUGCUAAUACCGCAUAAGACCACGAGAUCACAUGAUCUUGAGGUAAAAGGAGCAAUCCGGUCUGGGGUGAGUUCGCGUCCGAUUAGCUAGUUGGCGAGGUAACGGCCCACCAAGGCGACGAUCGGUAGCCGACCUGAGAGGGUGAUCGGCCACAUUGGAACUGAGAAACGGUCCAAACUCCUACGGGAGGCAGCAGUGGGGAAUAUUGGGCAAUGGGCGAAAGCCUGACCCAGCAACGCCGCGUGAGGGAAGAAGGUUUUCGGAUUGUAAACCUCUGUCCUCAGGGACGAAGGAAGUGACGGUACCUGAGGAGGAAGCCCCGGCUAACUACGUGCCAGCAGCCGCGGUAAUACGUAGGGGGCGAGCGUUGUCCGGAAUGACUGGGCGUAAAGGGCGUGUAGGCGGCUCUUUAAGUCUGGAGUGAAAGUCCUGCUUUCAAGGUGGGAAUUGCUUUGGAGACUGGAGAGCUUGAGUGCGGAAGAGGUAAGUGGAAUUCCCAGUGUAGCGGUGAAAUGCGUAGAGAUUGGGAGGAACACCAGUGGCGAAGGCGACUUACUGGGCCGUAACUGACGCUGAGGCGCGAAAGCGUGGGGAGCGAACAGGAUUAGAUACCCUGGUAGUCC
rnacentral:rRNA from 1 species